AUUGAACGCUGGCGGCAGGCCUAACACAUGCAAGUCGAGCGGCUGAACGGUGCUUGCUCCUGGAUUCGGCGGCGGACGGGCGAGUGAUGCCUAGGAAUCUCCCUGGUAGCGGGGGCUAACGUCAGGACACGGGCGCUAAUACCGCAUACGUCCUGAGGUCGAACGUGGGGGAUCUUCGGACCUUCCGCUCUCAGAUGAUCCUAGGUCGGAUUAGCUAGUUGGUGGGGUAAAGGCCUACCAAGGCGACGAUCCGUAGCUGGUCUGAGAGGAUGAUCAGCCACACUGGAACUGAGACACGGUCCAGACUCCUACGGGAGGCAGCAGUGGGGAAUAUUGGACAAUGGGCGAAAGCCUGAUCCAGCCAUGCCGCGUGUGUGAAGAAGGUCUUCGGAUUGUAAAGCCCUUUUAUUGGGGAGGAAAAGCAGUAAGUUAAUACCUCGCUGUUUUGACGGUACCAAAAGAAUAAGCACCGGCUAACUUCGUG
rnacentral:rRNA from 1 species